rnacentral:miRNA from 1 species
UGGAGCUCUGUAGAUGGCGCUGG